UUUUUUUUGGCUGAGUCUGAUCUAUCACUUGCGACAACUGGCACUAGUGGGGCCCCAUGCACACGCACACAACCACACUCAAUAUUUCUUUCCACAUGCGGAAAGCAGGAUGGUGUCACAGCAGAAGCCCAGGCCUGGAAGGCAAGAGAUCUAGGUCUGUCUGUGGCUUUGUCUCUUUGACAUUCAACUUCUUCAGCUAUAAGGUGGCUGGGGAAGGGGGAGGUUGGACAAAUAAGCUCAAGAUGCCUUCCUGCUCUGACACUCUCUGAAUCUGUCAACCUGAACGUCUUGGUGCUCCUGGGGCCAUUGAGAUUGCUGGAUCCUGAUUCUUUGAAGCAUUUCAUUCAUUAUGGUAAAGAAGGGUUUAAGUGGCCACCAACAGAGAGACGUGAAGUACAUGAAACAAUUAGGUUCUCUGUAUCUCCAGCAGAAUUGGCCCCAGAAGAGGGUCAGGCUUUGCAAAGACACAGAACAUUUUUCCCGCUGGGCUCCUUGGGAAAAGGUCUCAGCAUUAUGGAGGGUGUCUCUGGCUAUUCACAGCUUGCCAGUGGGAACAGCCAAGAAGGAGAAGAGGUCACAUGGCCAGGCCUGCUGCCGGCACAGAGUGUUCUGUGCAGCUGAUGGCUGGGCAGGGAUGAGGUUUGCCCGAUCCCCUGCUGAGGCUUCCUAUGAAAGUCUCUAGACAACCUUGAGCGCAUAUAUGGAGCUCUUACAAACUCCACAGACCUGAAAGAAUACAG
rnacentral:lncRNA from 10 species